rnacentral:lncRNA from 1 species
UUAUUAUGUUUAUAUAUGUUCUGUGUAUACCUAAUUUCGCCAGGAGUUUUUAUCAUGAAGGGAUGCUCAAUUUUGUUAAAGGCGUUUCCAGCAUCUAUUGAGAUGAUCAUGUGAUUUUUUUCUUUCAGUUCAUUUUUAAGGUACAUUACAUUUACUGAUUUUCAUGUAUUGAACCCUCUCUGCAUGUCUGGGAUAAAACCUACUUCAUCAUGCUGGAUGAUUUUUCUGAUGUGUUCCUGGACUUGAUGUGCAAGUAUUUUGUCGAGUAUUUUUGCAUCUGUGUUCAUAAGGAAAAUUGAGAGAGAACGGAACAACUUGAGAUCAGAGGACAACUUGCAAGAGGUGAUUCUUUCCUUCCACCGUGUGCAUCCAGGAGUUUGAACUCCCUCUUCGAGCUUUGUGGCAGAUGUCUUUAACCCUCAAGCCAUCAUGCUCACUUCUGUGUCACCUUGAAAAACAUUUUUUCAAACUUCCUUAUUUUACUUUAUGUGACAAAAUACUAUAACACUUACCAUGUACAACAACAUGCACUGAAAUAUGCAUAAGUUGUAAAUUCUGAACCAGGCAAAAU